rnacentral:rRNA from 1 species
UGGGGAAUAUUGCACAAUGGGGGAAACCCUGAUGCAGCGACGCCGCGUGAGUGAAGAAGUAUUUCGGUAUGUAAAGCUCUAUCAGCAGGGAAGAAAAAAGACGGUACCUGACUAAGAAGCCCCGGCUAACUACGUGCCAGCAGCCGCGGUAAUACGUAGGGGGCAAGCGUUAUCCGGAUUUACUGGGUGUAAAGGGAGCGUAGACGGUAUGGCAAGUCUGAAGUGAAAGCCCAGGGCUUAACCCUGGGACUGCUUUGGAAACUGUUAGACUAGAGUGCUGGAGAGGUAAGUGGAAUUCCUAGU